rnacentral:rRNA from 1 species
AGAGCGAACGCUGGCGGCAGGCCUAACACAUGCAAGUCGAGCGCCCGUAGCAAUACGGGAGCGGCAGACGGGAUAGUAACACGUGGGAACGCGCCCCUCGGUUCGGAAUAACUCAGGGAAACUUGAGCUAAUACCGGAUACGCCCUUACGGGGAAAGAUUUAUUGCCGAAGGAACGGCCCGCGUCCGAUUAGCUAGUUGGUGAGGUAAUGGCUCACCAAGGCGACGAUCGGUAGCUGGUCUGAGAGGAUGACCAGCAUCACUGGGACUGAGACACGGCCCAGACUCCUACGGGAGGCAGCAGUGGGGAAUAUUGGACAAUGGGCGCAAGCCUGAUCCAGCCAUGCCGCGUGGAUGAUGAAGGCCUUAGGGUUGUAAAGUCCUUUUAACGGGGAAGAUAAUGACGGUACCCGUAGAACUAAGCCCCGGCUAACUUCGUGCCAGCAGCCGC